rnacentral:misc_RNA from 1 species
CGUCGUUUCAAACCUUCAAGCCUAGCUUGGUGUUGGGUGACUGUCCUGCGGAACCCCCGCGGACUCGCCUUAAAUCUAUUGGCAGCAGACAUUGUAGCUAAUUGCGCAGCACAUCGCGCCUUAAGCUCUGUGCCGGCUAUCCACGAGCCUUGUCUCACCAGUUUGACCUCGGAUCAGGUAGGGAUACCCGCUGAACUUAA